rnacentral:rRNA from 1 species
AUUGAACGCUGGCGGAAUGCUUUACACAUGCAAGUCGAACGGCAGCACGGACUUCGGUCUGGUGGCGAGUGGCGAACGGGUGAGUAAUGUAUCGGAACGUGCCCAGUCGUGGGGGAUAACGUAGUGAAAAUUACGCUAAUACCGCAUACGAUCUAAGAACGACAUCGGGGGAUCGCACGACCUCGCGCGAUUGUAGCGGCCGAUAUCAGAUUAGGUAGUUGGUGGGGUAAAGGCCCACCAAGCCAACGAUCUGUAGCUGGUCUGAGAGGCCGACCAGCCACACUGGAAAUGAGACACGGUCCAGACUCCUACGGGAGGCAGCAGUGGGGAAUUUUGGACAAUGGGCGAAAGCCUGAUCCAGCCAUUCCGCGUGCAGGAUGAAGGCCCUCGGGUUGUAAACUGCUUUUGUACAGAACGAAAAGGUUUCUACUAGUACUAGGAGCUCAUGACGGUACUGUAAGAAUAAGCACCGGCUAACUACGUGCCAGCAGCCGCCGUAA